rnacentral:rRNA from 1 species
AUGCACGCUGGCGGCGUGCCUCAUACAUGCAAGUCGAGCGAACAGACGAGGAGCUUGCUCCUCUGACGUUAGCGGCGGACGGGUGAGUAACGCGUGGAUAACCUACCUAUAAGACUGGGAUAACUUCGGGAAACCGGAGCUAAUACCGGAUAAUAUAUUGAACCGCAUGGUUCAAUAGUGAAAGACGGUUUUGCUGUCACUUAUAGAUGGAUCCGCGCCGCAUUAGCUAGUUGGUAAGGUAACGGCUUACCAAGGCAACGAUGCGUAGCCGACCUGAGAGGGUGAUCGGCCACACUGGAACUGAGACACGGUCCAGACUCCUACGGGAGGCAGCAGUAGGGAAUCUUCCGCAAUGGGCGAAAGCUUGACGGAGCAACGCCGCGUGAGUGAUGAAGGUCUUCGGAUCGUAAAACUCUGUUAUUAGGGAAGAACAAAUGUGUAAGUAACUAUGCACGUCUUGACGGUACCUAAUCAGAAAGCCACGGCUAACUACGUG